UGGGGAAUUUUGGACAAUGGGCGAAAGCCUGAUCCAGCAAUGCCGCGUGUGUGAAGAAGGCCUUCGGGUUGUAAAGCACUUUUGUCCGGAAAGAAAUCCUUGGCUCUAAUACAGUCGGGGGAUGACGGUACCGGAAGAAUAAGCACCGGCUAACUACGUGCCAGCAGCCGCGGUAAUACGUAGGGUGCAAGCGUUAAUCGGAAUUACUGGGCGUAAAGCGUGCGCAGGCGGUUUGCUAAGACCGAUGUGAAAUCCCCGGGCUCAACCUGGGAACUGCAUUGGUGACUGGCAGGCUAGAGUAUGGCAGAGGGGGGUAGAAUUCCACGUGUAGCAGUGAAAUGCGUAGAGAUGUGGAGGAAUACCGAUGGCGAAGGCAGCCCCCUGGGCCAAUACUGACGCUCAUGCACGAAAGCGUGGGGAGCAAAACAGGAUUAGAUACCCUGGUAGUCCACGCCCUAAACGAUGUCAACUAGUUGUUGGGGAUUCAUUUCCUAGUAACGUAGCUAACGCGUGAAGUUGACCGCCUGGGGAGUACGGUCGCAAGAUUAAAACUCAAAGGAAUUGACGGGGUCAUAGCUGUUUCCU
rnacentral:rRNA from 1 species